AUUGAACGCUGGCGGCAUGCCUUACACAUGCAAGUCGAACGCGAAAGCGGAGCAAUCCGCAAGUAGAGUGGCGAACGGGUGAGUAAUACAUCGGAACAUAUCCAGUAGCGGGGGGUAACCUGUCGAAAGAUAGGCUAAUACCGCAUACGAUCUACGGAUGAAAGCAGGGGACCGCAAGGCCUUGCACUAUUGGAGUGGCCGAUGUCAGAUUAGCUAGUUGGUGGGGUAAAAGCCUACCAAGGCGACGAUCUGUAGCUGGUCUGAGAGGACGAUCAACCACACUGGAACUGAGACACGGUCCAGACUCCUACGGGAGGCAGCAGUGGGGAAUUUUGGACAAUGGGCGAAAGCCUGAUCCAGCCAUGCCGCGUGAGUGAAGAAGGCCUUCGGGUUGUAAAGCUCUUUCAGUGAAGACGAAACGGUUAGCGCUAAUAACGCUGACUAAUGACGGUACUCACAGAAGAAGCACCGGCUAACUACGUGCCAGCAGCCGCGGUAA
rnacentral:rRNA from 1 species